UACGUAGGGUGCGAGCGUUGUCCGGAUUUAUUGGGCGUAAAGAGCGUGUAGGCGGCCAGACAGGUCAGCUGUGAAAACUCGAGGCUCAACCUCGAGACGUCGGUUGAAACCGUCUGGCUAGAGUCCGGAAGAGGAGAGUGGAAUUCCCGGUGUAGCGGUGAAAUGCGUAGAUAUCGGCUGGAACGCCGAAGGUGAAAACAGCUCGCUGGGGCUGUGCUGACGCUGAGACGCGAAAGCCAGGGGAGCGAACGGG
rnacentral:rRNA from 1 species